AUACGGGGGGGGCUAGCGUUGUUCGGAUUUAUUGGGCGUAAAGGGCGCGUAGGCGGUUCGGUAAGUCAACCGUGAAAUCCCUCGGCUCAACCGAGGAACUGCGAUUGAUACUGCCGGGCUUGAGUCCCGGAGAGGAUGGCGGAAUUCCCAGUGUAGCGGUGAAAUGCGUAGAUAUCCGGAGGAACACCAGUGGCGAAGGCGGCUUCCUGGACUAAUACUGACACUGAGGUACGAAAGCGUGGGGAGCAAACAGGAUUAGAUACCCCAGUAGUCC
rnacentral:rRNA from 1 species